GCCAUUAAAGAGUAUCGAAAACUUUGGAGUUUCCAAGCAAGAUUGAAUCCAAUUAACCCAUUGCUGUGGGAAGUUCAUAUCGAGGAGCAUCUUAUAGAUAAAUUUCCUAUUAACUGAAUCAAAAGCUUUCCGUAAAUCAACUUUAAAACAGAUUUUUGUCCCUCUUGCUUUUGAAUGUAAAUCUUUGACCAAGUCAUUAGCAAGCAAAAUGUUAUGAUGU
rnacentral:lncRNA from 1 species